rnacentral:rRNA from 1 species
UACGGGGGGAGCAAGCGUUGUUCGGAAUUACUGGGCGUAAAGGGCUCGUAGGCGGCCAACUAAGUCAUACGUGAAAUCCCUCGGCUUAACCGGGGAACUGCGUCUGAUACUGGAUGGCUUGAGUUCGGGAGAGGGAUGCGGAAUUCCAGGUGUAGCGGUGAAAUGCGUAGAUAUCUGGAGGAACACCGGUGGCGAAGGCGGCAUCCUGGACCGAUACUGACGCUGAGGAGCGAAAGCCAGGGGAGCAAACGGG